CAGUAGCCGCGGUAAUACGUAGGUGGCAAGCGUUGUCCGGAAUUAUUGGGCGUAAAGGGCUCGCAGGCGGUUUCUUAAGUCUGAUGUGAAAGCCCCCAGCUCAACCGGGGAGGGUCAUUGGGAACUGGGAAACUUGAGUGCAGAAGAGGAGAGUGGAAUUCCACGUGUAGCGGUGAAAUGCGUAGAGAUGUGGAGGAACACCAGUGGCGAAGGCGACUCUCUGGUCUGUAACUGACGCUGAGGAGCGAAAGCGUGGGGAGCGAACAGGAUUAGAUACCCCUGUAGUCCCUGUCUCUUAUAC
rnacentral:rRNA from 1 species